AACUAGCCCUGAUCGAGGCGGCAUCCUCGUAGUGAAACGAAGAGAUAUAGCCAAGAGCAGGAGGGAAC
rnacentral:misc_RNA from 1 species